UUAAGCACGGCAGGCCUUGAUCAGA
rnacentral:piRNA from 1 species